GUGAUAACCGCUGAAAGCAUCUAAGCGGGAAGCACGCUUCAAGAUGAGGGUUCCUGCAGAUGAAUCUGGUAAGGUCUCCGGUAGACGACCGGGUUGAUAGGCCAGGCGUGGACGCAUCGUAAGGUGUGGAGCUGACUGGUACUAAUAGACCGAGGACUUACACAACAUUC
rnacentral:rRNA from 1 species